AGAGUUUGAUCCUGGCUCAGGAUGAACGCUAGCGGCAGGCUUAACACAUGCAAGUCGAGGGGCAGCGGGGGUAGCAAUACCUGUCGGCGACCGGCAAACGGGUGCGGAACACGUACAGAAUCUACCUUAAUCUGGGGCAUAGCCCGGAGAAAUCCGGAUUAACUCCCCAUAAUAUACAUGGAAGGCAUCUUUUGAGUAUUAAAAAUUUAUUGGAUUGAGAUGACUGUGCGUCCCAUUAGCUAGUUAGUAGGGUAACGGCCUACCAAGGCGACGAUGGGUAGCUGGUGUGAGAGCACGACCAGCCACACGGGCACUGAGACACGGGCCCGACUCCUACGGGAGGCAGCAGUGAGGAAUAUUGGUCAAUGGACGCAAGUCUGAACCAGCCAUGCCGCGUGAAGGAUGAAGGCCUUCUGGGUUGUAAACUUCUUUUACCUGGGAAGAAACCUCUUUUUUCUAAGAGAGUUGACGGUACCAGAGGAAUAAGCACCGGCUAACUCCGUGCCAGCAGCCGCGGUAAU
rnacentral:rRNA from 1 species